rnacentral:rRNA from 1 species
AUUGAACGCUGGCGGCAUGCCUUACACAUGCAAGUCGAGCGGCAGCGCGGGGGCAACCCUGGCGGCGAGCGGCGAACGGGUGAGUAACAUAUCGGAACGUACCCUGUCGUGGGGGAUAACUAUCCGAAAGGAUAGCUAAUACCGCAUGCGACCUGAGGGUGAAAGCGGGGGACCGCAAGGCCUCGCGCGAUAGGAGCGGCCGAUAUCGGAUUAGCUAGUUGGUGAGGUAAAGGCUCACCAAGGCGACGAUCCGUAGCGGGUCUGAGAGGACGACCCGCCACACUGGAACUGAGACACGGUCCAGACUCCUACGGGAGGCAGCAGUGGGGAAUUUUGGACAAUGGGGGCAACCCUGAUCCAGCCAUUCCGCGUGAGUGAAGAA